UUACCAAAAACAUCGCCUUCUGAAGAAUUAUAGAAGGUCCAGCCUGCCCAGUGACUUAGUUAAACGGCCGCGGUACCCUAACCGUGCGAAGGUAGCACAAUCACUUGUUCUUUAAAUAAGGACUAGUAUGAAUGGCAUCACGAGGAUUAAACUGUCUCCCCCACCUAGUCAAUGAAACUGACCUCCCCGUGAAGAAGCGGGGAUAAAUAUAUAAGACGAGAAGACCCUAUGGAGCUUUAAACAUAACACCACCCACCUAAACCCAUUUCAUAAAAAACAGGUGAAGCUUGUGUGCGUUUUCAGUUGGGGUGACUGCGGAGCAAAAUAAAACCUCCACGAUGAAAUCCUCUAAUCCAAGAAUAACAAUUCAAAGAAUCAACAAAUUGACAUCAAUUGACCCAAAUAAUAAUUUGAUCAACGAACUAAGUUACCCUAGGGAUAACAGCGCAAUCCACUUCAAGAGCUCAUAUCGACAAGUGGGUUUACGACCUCGAUGUUGGAUCAGGGUAUCCCAGUGGUGCAGCCGCUACUAAAGGUUCGUUUGUUCAACGAUCAAAACCCUACGUGAUCUGAGUUCA
rnacentral:rRNA from 1 species